CCUACGGGUGGCAGCAGUGGGGAAUAUUGCACAAUGGGGGAAACUCUGAUGCAGCAACGCCGCGUGAGUGAAGGAGUAUUUCGGUAUGUAAAGCUCUAUCAGUAGGGAAGAAGAAAGACGGUACCUGACUAAGAAGCCCCGGCUAACUACGUGCCAGCAGCCGCGGUAAUUCGCAGGGGGCAAGCGUUAUCCGGAUUUACUUGGUGUAAAGGGAGCGUAGACGGCUGUGCAAGUCUGAAGUGAAAGCCCGUGGCUCAACCGCGGAACAGCUUUGGAAACUGUAUGGCUUGAGUACUGGAGAGGCAGGCGGAAUGCGUGGUGUAGCGGUGAAAUGCGUAGAUAUUAGGAGGAACACCAGUGGCGAAGGCGGCCUGCUGGACAGAAACUGACGUUGAGGCUCGAAAGCGUGGGGAGCGAACAGGAUUAGAUACCCGGGUAGUC
rnacentral:rRNA from 1 species